GACAGAGGGUGCAAACGUUGUUCGGAAUUACUGGGCGUAAAGCGCGUGUAGGCGGCCCUGCAAGUCGGAUGUGAAAUCCCACGGCCUACACCGUGGAAGUGCAUUCGAAACUGCAGGGCUAGAGUCCUGGAGAGGAAGGUGGAAUGCUUGGUGUAGAGGUGAAAUUCGUAGAUAUCAAGCGGAACACCGGUGGCGAAGGCGGCCUUCUGGACAGUGACUGACGCUGAGACGCGAAAGCGUGGGGAGCAAACAGGG
rnacentral:rRNA from 1 species